GGGCGAAUAGCUCAGCGGGAGAGCACCUGCCUUACAAGCAGGGGGUCGGAGGUUCGACACCUCCUUCGCCCACCA
rnacentral:tRNA from 2 species